AACGAACGCUGGCGGCAGGCCUAACGCAUGCAAGUCGAACGCUCCGCAAGGGGAGUGGCAGAUGGGUGAGUAACACGUGGGAAUCUUCCUAUUGGUACGGAAUAGCUCAGGGAAACUUGGGGUAAUACCGUAUAAGCCCGAGAGGGGAAAGAUUUAUCGCCAGUAGAUGAGCCCGCGUCUGAUUAGCUAGUUGGUGAGGUAAUGGCUCACCAAGGCGACGAUCAGUAGCUGGUCUGAGAGGAUGAUCAGCCACACUGGGACUGAGACACGGCCCAGACUCCUACGGGAGGCAGCAGUGGGGAAUAUUGGACAAUGGGCGCAAGCCUGAUCCAGCCAUGCCGCGUGAGUGACGAAGGUCUUCGGAUUGUAAAGCUCUUUUGGCGGGGACGAUAAUGACGGUACCCGCAGAAUAAGCCCCGGCUAACUUCGUGCCAGCCGCCGCAGUAAAAC
rnacentral:rRNA from 1 species